ACCAAUGAGGAGAUGGGAGAGGUGACAGGACUUGCAGCGCAAUCUGCGUUACAAAUAGAACUGACUUCUAUUUUAGAACUUGGUAACGAAGACACUCGUUGGCGCGCAAUAAUUGAAUAAUACAGAUUUCUAAAUUUAUUUUGCAACGCUCGCGCAGGCGAUGUGAGCGGUGUAGUCAGCCUGUAACGUUCCCACAGCGGACAGAAGUCAGUGAGUCACUCAUGACUGUUGGCAUAUUUUCUUUCAACACGGCAUGUGCAUUAAUCUGUUAGCUAGCAGAGAUUGGCUGUGGUGAAGUGGUAACGGAAGUUGACAUGAAACUACGGUAGACGGCUAACGUUACAGGCUGACUACACCACUCGCAUUGCUCUCAACCCAUGGAACAGUCGUUUUGACACAGAAACAGCUCAGCAAGAUCAGCUCAUCUUGGGUCAAACUGCGGUUCUUCAUGGUUGUCUCCAGGACUUUCAGCCCCUUUUUGACCAAGUACCAGAUUGACGAGCCAGUGAUGCCACUCCACCACAAAGAGUUGAUAAUGUCUGCUUAGGCGUUCUGUCAAGAGGGAGCUCCUCCAGGACAUCACUCCAUUGCACAUGAUCAGACUGGGUGUCGCUGACCAAAAUAAUUGGGCCCACCCGAAGGAAGUUGACAUAAGCUUGGGUGCCGAGUCAGUCCUCAAGGUGAUGUGGGAACUUCCUAUCCCUUGAGGACAAAAGUAAGCACUUCCUCUCUUUCCGGCCCACAGAGACGAGGCUGGAUGUGUUCCUGCAUGGUUUCCUCAGCCAAUCGUACCCUGAGCUUUGGGGUUUCUGUAAGAAGCUUCUUCUGUCCCAUGGGCAGGCAGCUGUCGAGAGAGGCUUCUCCAUCAACAAGGAGUUGGAAACCUGUAACAUGCAGGAGGGUAUAGGGCUGUGGCGGUCACAAAAUUGUCAGCCGGUGAUUUGUCAAGCAACUAACUGCUGGGUUUCACGGUACUUGGCCGUUAACAUAAACACAUUUAGAAUCUCCUGGCUUCCCCACACAGCUUAGAAUACAUUUUAAAAAGUAUAAUAAAUCCUUGGAAUAUAGCCUACACCUUCACAAUGAAUCCAUUGUUUAUUUUAGAC